rnacentral:rRNA from 1 species
UUUAAUGAGAGUUUGAUCCUGGCUCAGGACGAACGCUGGCGGCGUGCCUAAUACAUGCAAGUAGAACGCUGAGGUUUGGUGUUUACACUAGACUGAUGAGUUGCGAACGGGUGAGUAACGCGUAGGUAACCUGCCUCAUAGCGGGGGAUAACUAUUGGAAACGAUAGCUAAUACCGCAUAAGAGUAAUUAACACAUGUUAGUUAUUUAAAAGGAGCAAUUGCUUCACUGUGAGAUGGACCUGC